UAUGGGGGCCCCAGGGGAUGGCCAUGGUUUUCCCUGCUGCAGGGCCCAUCUGUGCCAAGGGAAGGGCCCUGGUCACCUUCCUGCUGCCUCCAGGUUCCCAGGAAGUUCUCGGGCUGGUGCAAGGUGAAGCCUCUGAGAUGUGGAGGCCCCAGGUCCUGCUUGCCCAGCACCUGGCUGUUCUGUGCCCUGCUGCUCCCUAGCCCAUACCCAAUGCUCUGCUAAGGGGCAGACUUUCUUCAUAUCUGUUUCUGGAUGCUGAAAGCCCCAUGGCCGGGUACCAUCCAUCUCCUCAACACACUUCAGCGCCGUGGAAGCUUUGUGUGCUGAUAAAUAGCAUAAUAGGAAGAAAUUUAAUGGACUAUCUAAAGUGCCUCUCUUCAAAUCAAAGUGCACAGGGUGCGACCCAGCCAUCGAUACACAAUACAYGUUAAACAAACAAUUGCUCAAAUAUCAUAAAAACAGGCUAUAAAAGCCAUAUAAACCUCUGGAGAUACUGG